rnacentral:rRNA from 1 species
UGGGGAAUAUUGCACAAUGGGCGCAAGCCUGAUGCAGCCAUGCCGCGUGUGUGAAGAAGGCCUUCGGGUUGUAAAGCACUUUCAGCGAGGAGGAAGGGUAGUGUGUUAAUAGCACAUUGCAUUGACGUUACUCGCAGAAGAAGCACCGGCUAACUCCGUGCCAGCAGCCGCGGUAAUACGGAGGGGGCAAGCGUUAAUAGGAAUUACUGGGCGUAAAGCGCACGCAGGCGGUUUGUUAAGUCAGAUGUGAAAUCCCCGCGCUUAACGUGGGAACUGCAUUUGAAACUGGCAAGCUAGAGUCUUGUAGAGGGGGGUAGAAUUCCAGGUGUAGCGGUGAAAUGCGUAGAGAUCUGGAGGAAUACCGGUGGCGAAGGCGGCCCCCUGGACAAAGACUGACGCUCAGGUGCGAAAGCGUGGGGAGCAAACA